rnacentral:rRNA from 1 species
ACGAACGCUGGCGGCGUGCUUAACACCUGCAAGUCGAACGGAAAGGCCCUGCUUGCAGGGUACUCGAGUGGCGAACGGGUGAGUAACACGUGGGUGAUCUGCCCUGCACUUCGGGAUAAGCCUGGGAAACUGGGUCUAAUACCGGAUAGGAGCCAUUUUUAGUGUGAUGGUUGGAAAGUUUUUUCGGUGUAGGAUGAGCUCGCGGCCUAUCAGCUUGUUGGUGGGGUAAUGGCCUACCAAGGCGGCGACGGGUAGCCGGCCUGAGAGGGUGGACGGCUACAUUUGGACUGAGAUACGGCCCAGACUCCUACGGGAGGCAGCAGUGGGGAAUAUUGCACAAUGGGCGCAAGCCUGAUGCAGCGACGCCGCGUGGGGGAUGACGGCCUUCGGGUUGUAAACUCCUUUCGCUAGGGACGAAGCUUUUUGUGACGGUACCUAGAUAAGAAGCACCGGCUAACUACGUG